GGUGUAGCUCCAACUGGCAGAGCAGCGGAUUCCAAAUCCGCGUGUUGGGAGUUCGAAUCUCUCCACCCCUGCCA
rnacentral:tRNA from 1 species